rnacentral:rRNA from 1 species
GCUCAUUAUAUCAGUUAUAGUUUAUUAGAAAUAUUUUACUACUUGGAUAACCGUAGUAAUUCUAGGGCUAAUACAUGAGUAAAUCCUCAACUUCGGAAGAGGUGUGUUUAUUAGUAUGAAAACCAUAUAUCUUCGGAUAUAAUAGUGAGUAAUAAUAACCUUUCAUAUCGUAUGUCGUAAGAUAACGAUAGUUCUUUCAAGUUUCUGCCCUAUCAGCUUUCGAUGGUAGUAUAUGGGACUACCAUGGCAGUAACGGGUAACGAAGAAUUUGGGUUCGAUUUCGGAGAGGGAGCCUGAGAGAUGGCUACCACAUCCAAGGAAGGCAGCAGGCGCGUAAAUUACCCAAUCCUGACAUAGGGAGGUAGUGACAAUAAAUCACAAUGCGGAACUUUUAGUUUUGCCAUUGGAUUGAGAACAAUGUACAAAUGUUAUCGAUAAC